AAAAACGAUCAUAAAAAUUCUGUUUUUUUGGAACGUGCUUAGAACUUCGGCAAUUUCUAUCCGAAUUGUAACUUAACUUUCUGCUUUGUGUUCCAACAACGAAAUCUCUUUCUAGUGUUAUAAAAGUUAAACAGACAUUUUUCUGUACUAUACGAAAGGACUGCCAAUAUGUCAUAUGAAAUUAGAAUUUACAACAGCUAUCUGGGCUGAUAUCUACUUGUGAUUGUUUGGGCCAACUUCCGUGCCUCUGAGUGUAGUAAAAUUCUGACGAAGUAAAAUCAAGCAGGUAAGUUGUCUGGAAAACGUUGGUGCGCUGCGUCUUAUUGUGCAACAAGCCUAGCACGAUCCGGGGCCCGAUUCUCCUAAUUUUACUUAAGAGGGCUAUCACAAUUUUUCGAGUUUUAUACGAGUUUUGAUGCGUCAUUAUGCUUUGGAUAUAGUCACAAAAAAAAAACAAAAAUAAGAUUAAGAAAGUUUGAUCAUUUAUCUUGGGGCUGUUUUCAAUAAAUAUUUUAAUUUGUCCACGUACAUCAGUAAAAUCUUUGUCUCUGCAAAGGAUGUUUCAUAAAAUGUUGCUUUUGGGAAUCUUUUGAUGCUUCAGUACUACGAGGAUAUAGCAAUUUAACCAUUUAUAAAAAUGUUCAAGAUACAACUAUAUCUUGUACUUGUGCUUGCUUACACCAAUUUAUUACAAUUCAUACAGUAAUACACCAAAAAUAAUUCUAUAAAACUGAGAGUUACUGACAAUUUUCCGUACAAAACUAUAUUUUUUAUCUAUGAAAGUAUAAUCCAAAUUCAAAUAAAACAUAUUUAAUAAUUAAGGUGGUAUUGUUAUAAAGCUUGAAAAAAAAAUUGGUCUAUUUAAAAGUAAAACAAUAUUUUAAAAUAAUUUUUGUUUGCAAUGCAAAAAUCAAUAUAAAUCUUGUGACGCGCGGUGUUCAACUUUAGUCAGCGCCAAGCGCUUAUCGAGGGAGGACGUAUCGCUCGCUGUUGCGCCGCGCAAACUCGCCGGAGCUCGAAAAAUAUAGCGCAACCUGCGCAACGAACUCGUUUUGAUACUAGAUAAUGAAAGCAUAUUUAAUUCAGAUUAUCAGACUCAAUCGGAUACCAGUACAAAUAAUAUGGAAAAUGAAGAUACAAUACAUGGAAGACGAAUUAUAGAUUUUAGUUUUUUUAUAAAUCAAUUACUUAUACCUAAUUGAUAAACAUGGUGAAAAGUUUGGUUGUCGAUUAAAUAAUUUAAAAAUUGUAAACGA